UGGGGAAUAUUGCGCAAUGGGGGGAACCCUGACGCAGCCAUGCCGCGUGAAUGAAGAAGGCCUUAGGGUUGUAAAGUUCUUUCGGUAUUGAGGAAGGUUGAUGUGUUAAUAGCACAUCAAAUUGACGUUAAAUACAGAAGAAGCACCGGCUAACUCCGUGCCAGCAGCCGCGGUAAUACGGAGGGUGCGAGCGUUAAUCGGAAUAACUGGGCGUAAAGGGCACGCAGGCGGUUAUUUAAGUGAGGUGUGAAAGCCCCGGGCUUAACCUGGGAAUUGCAUUUCAGACUGGGUAACUAGAGUACUUUAGGGAGGGGUAGAAUUCCACGUGUAGCGGUGAAAUGCGUAGAGAUGUGGAGGAAUACCGAAGGCGAAGGCAGCCCCUUGGGAAUGUACUGACGCUCAUGUGUGAAAGCGUGGGGAGCAAACAGGAUUAGAUACCCUGGUAGUCCACGCUGUAAACGCUGUCGAUUUGGGGGUUGGGGUUUAACUCUGGCGCCCGUAGCUNACGUGAUAAAUCGACCGCCUGGGGAGUACGGCCGCAAGGUU
rnacentral:rRNA from 1 species